rnacentral:rRNA from 1 species
ACGGAGGAUCCAAGCGUUAUCCGGAUUUAUUGGGUUUAAAGGGUGCGUAGGCGGGAUGAUAAGUCAGUGGUGAAAUCCUACAGCUUAACUGUAGAACUGCCAUUGAUACUGUCAACCUUGAGUACAUUUGAAGUGGGCGGAAUGUGUGGUGUAGCGGUGAAAUGCUUAGAUAUCACACAGAACACCGAUAGCGAAGGCAGCUCACUAAACUGUAACUGACGCUGAGGCACGAAAGCGUGGGGAUCAAACAG